rnacentral:rRNA from 1 species
AUUGAACGCUAGCGGGAUGCCUUACACAUACAAGUCGAACGGAGUGGCGAACGGGUGAGUAAUGUAUCGGAACGUGCCCCGUAGCGGGGGAUAACUACGCGAAAGCGUAGCUAAUACCGCAUACUCUUGGAGCGGCCGAUCUCGGGGUGGCUAGUUGGUGGGGUAACGGCUGACCAAGGCGACGAUCCGUAGCUGGUUUGAGAGGACGACCAACCACCCUGGGACUGAGACACGGCCCAGAAUCCUACGGGAGGCAGAAGUGGGUAAUUUUGGACAAUGGGGGAAACCCUGAGCCAGCCAUCCCGCGUGUGCGAUGAAGGCCUUCGGGUGUUAAAGCACUUUUGGCAGGAAAGCGGUACCUGCAGAAUAAGCACCGGCUAACUACGUGCCAACAGCCGCGGUAAUUC